rnacentral:miRNA from 1 species
CUGGGGAGUGGCUGGGGAG